rnacentral:RNase_P_RNA from 1 species
CGAGUAUCGCGGAUGGUCGCUGCCGGAAUCGCGAGAGCGUCCGGGAGAGGAAAGUCCGGGCUUCACAGAGCAGGAUGCCUGAUAACGUCAGGUUGAGGCGACUCACAGGACAGUGCAACAGAAAAGAACCGCCGGAAACGGUAAGGGUGCAAAGGCAGUGUAAGAGACUACCGGUUCUCUGGCAACAGGGAACGCUGUGUAAACCCCAUUCGAAGCAAGACCAAACAGAGAGCACAGGGCUGCUCGUCCGCUCUCGGGUAGGUUGCUGGAGGCGCAUGGCGACGUGCGUCCUAGAUAGAUGACCAUCGAUUACAUAACCCGGCUUACAGCGGCACUCGUUUU